rnacentral:rRNA from 1 species
AGCGAACGCUGGCGGCAGGCCUAACACAUGCAAGUCGAACGAACCUUUCGGGGUUAGUGGCGGACGGGUGAGUAACACGUGGGAACGUGCCUUUAGGUUCGGAAUAACUCAGGGUAACAUGUGCUAAUACCGAAUGUGCCCUUCCGGGGAAAGAUUUAUCGCCUUUAGAGCGGCCGGCGUCUGAUUAGCUAGUUGGUUGAGGUAAUGGCUCACCAAGGCGACGAUCAGUAGCUGGUCGGUGAGGAGGAUCAGCCACAUUGGGGAUGCGACACGGCCCAAAAUCGUACGGAGGGGAGCAGUGGGGAAUCUUGCGCAAUGGGCGAAAGCCUGACGCAGCCAUGCCGCGUAAAUGAUGAAGGUCUUAGGAUUGUAAAAUUCUUUCAGCGGGGACGAUAAUGACGGUACCCGGAGAAGAAGCCCCGGCUAACUUCGUG